rnacentral:rRNA from 1 species
CCAGACAGCCAGGAUGUUGGCUUAGAAGCAGCCAUCAUUUAAAGAAAGCGUAAUAGCUCACUGGUCGAGUCGGCCUGCGCGGAAGAUGUAACGGGGCUAAACCAUGCACCGAAGCUGCGGCAGCGACACUAUGUGUUGUUGGGUAGGGGAGCGUUCUGUAAGCCUGUGAAGGUGUGCUGUGAGGCAUGCUGGAGGUAUCAGAAGUGCGAAUGCUGACAUAAGUAACGAUAAAGCGGGUGAAAAGCCCGCUCGCCGGAAGACCAAGGGUUCCUGUCCAACGUUAAUCGGGGCAGGGUGAGUCGACCCCUAAGGCGAGGCCGAAAGGCGUAGUCGAUGGGAAACAGGUUAAUAUUCCUGUACUUGGUGUUACUGCGAAGGGGGGACGGAGAAGGCUAUGUCGGCCGGGCGACGGUUGUCCCGGUUUAAGCGUGUAGGCUGACUUUCCAGGCAAAUCCGGAAGGUUAAGGCUGAGGCGUGAUGACGAGGCACCACGGUGCUGAAGUGACAAAUGCCCUGCUUCCAGGAAAAGCCUCUAAGCAUCAGGUAACAUCAAAUCGUACCCCAAACCGACACAGGUGGUCAGGUAG